UUUUUAACCGGGGUAUUGACUUUCAUGGAUGAUCCCAAAGACGGUAUAUUUUCAGGUUUUGCAGACCUUAAAUAUUAUGUUCAAUGGAUUCGUGGAAUCUUAAACAAACAUUUCAUUGAGAAUUCAUGCUUUUUGCCAAUUGUCGAAGGAAUUCUAUAUUCUUAUGAAGGUUCUAAUGAAAUUUUAUCUCAUGGGACAUUAAUUAAUCAUCACCGUACUAUUAUUGAGAAGUGUGAACUUGGAUAUCAUAUGGCUUAUCCUAUAGGUAUUAGAUUUUGUCAGGGAAAAGGAAAAUGGUUGUCGAAUACUGAGAAAUUGUGUUUCAAAAUGUGUCCACCUCUAAUAUCAGAUAGUUUAGAUAUUAAAUGUAGUCAUAAUGGUAAGUAUGCUAAUUGCUCAAAUUUAUCGAUACCCGAUACAAUAGCAACAGCAUCAUGCAAGCCAACAUUUACUGCACCGAAUGGACAAGAGAUUACACUUGAAUUGCUUUGUCAGUCUAAUGGACUGUGGAAUAAACAACUAUAUAGAUGCCAUCCAUAUUGUGGUAGAGUGUAUGUCAAAAACCACGUAUUGAUCGACAAUGGUGAUAAAGCACUUGUUGGAACGGCACCAUGGAAUGUUGGAAUAUAUCAAUUAAAUAAAACAGAUUCUAACUAUGACAUGAUAUGUGGAGGAUCAAUUAUUUCUCCAAAUUUAAUCAUUUCUGCGGCUCAUUGUUUUUGGAAAAAAGCUAUGCUUUCUAAGAAAAUAUCAAUAACGGAUGAUCUAUACAAAAUUGCUGUUGGAAAAUAUGAUAGAAAUUUUACAAUAAUCGACAAUGAAUUCACUCAAAUAAUAAAUGUGGAAACGAUUCACCUGAAAGAAGGUUAUUAUGGACCUACUGGGUUUCAUGCUGAAGAUAUAGCUAUUAUUGUGUUACAAAACCUAGUUUCUUUUAGUAAUGGUGUUUCGCCUAUUUGUAUCGAUUGGAAUGGUAAAUACAAUGUAGCCAAUGGAGACCAAGGAAAGAAAGCGCAAACAUCGUAAGAUUCUCUGCUGAAAAUAACAUGAAUCAUGUUUGAGGGCUUGCAGCCCAAAACUAGCUCAACAACUGCCAGCUAAUGACAAGGGGGCGCCAAUGCCUACCUUACCCCCCUAAAUUAUACCACUGAUUCCCAAGACUCAAUAAAAAAUUGUUGGUUGGGGAAAAACGGAAAAAGGCAUUUCAAGUCCUAUUUUAUUAGAAGCAUCUUUACCAUACAUCGACCAUAGUACUUGUC